rnacentral:rRNA from 1 species
UACGGGGGGGUAAGCGUUGUUCGGAAUUACUGGGCGUAAAGGGCUCGUAGGCGGCCAACUAAGUCAGACGUGAAAUCCCUCAGCUUAACUGGGGAACUGCGUCUGAUACUGGGAUGGCUUGGAUUUGGGAGAGGAAUGCGGAAUUCCAGGUGUAGCGGUGAAAUGCGUAGAUAUCUGGAGGAACACCGGUGGCGAAGGCGGCAUUCUGGACCAAUAUUGACGCUGAGGAGCGAAAGCCAGGGGAGCAAACGGG